ensembl:snoRNA SNORA70 Small nucleolar RNA SNORA70
GCUCAACCACUUAAACCAACCAGGAUCCUUUCUCCGUGGCAGCCUUGUGAGGCUGUUAAGAGCAGCCUCCUUGGGAAUGUGUGUGCCAUGUUGCCUACAUGAGCUGUCGUCAGGAGCCUUGAAGACAAAU